rnacentral:tRNA from 1 species
ACCAGGGUCACAAUGUUGGAUAAUUGUAGCUAGACUUUCAAUCUAGUCAGCACUGCUGUCGCGGGUUCGAUUCCCGUCUCUGGUAC